CCGAACUCGACAGUAGGCCUAUUCGGAGA
rnacentral:sRNA from 1 species